GCUAAGCCGGAACUUCGAUAAAUCAUAACUUCCUCAUACGAAGUCAGAUUUGGGCGUUCUAUAUAUAUUCGGAAACCUCGUUUCAACUACUACAACAUUAACCAAAUAUAUUAAGUUUAUUUUACACUUAAAUUUUGACGCUUAUUUUUAUUCUUAAUUAAUCAAACCACAUAAUUAAGCAAUUAAGCACAAAACACACAAUACUCAAAUAAUACAAUCUUAUUAUUUCAAAACGGGUUACAGAGGUUAACCUAGACUAUUACAUUGCUACAAAUGGCAAGCCCGAAACACAGGCGUUACAAUUCUCUCCACCUUAGAAUGAUUCCGUCCCCGGAAUCACACAUCAACAAACAAAUGCGGAUAGCGACUCAACAUGUCACUCUCCGUCUCCCAGGUGAGAUUCGGCCCAUUCGUGUGUUUCCAUCGGACAAGCACUAACCCAACCAUUUUGCGUCGCAACUUCUUAGUCUUUCGGUCAACAAUUGCCUCUGGUUCUUCAAUCAACCUUUUGUUCUCAUCAAUUCUCAAUUCAGAAAUUGGAAUUAUAUCGGGAACUUCUCCCGUGAACUUCCUCAAAUAACACACAUGAAAGGUGUUGUGAAUUCCAUUCAGUUCUUCGGGUAAUUCGAGCUUGUAAGCUUGAUUCCCAAUCCUCUGAAGGACUCUAAACGGUCCAAUAAACCUUGGACUCAACUUUCCCCUUUUACCAAAUCUUAUAAGUCCCUUCCACGGCGAGACUUUAAGCAAAACCGAAUCUCCAACCUCAAAAGUCAUCGGUCUUCGCUUCUUGUCAGCAUAGCUCUUUUGACGAUCUUGAGCUGCUAACAUUCUUUCCCUAAUUAUUUUCAACUUUUCAGCAGUUUGAUGAACCAACUCCGGUCCCAUAAACUGCUUUUCCCCAGCCUCAAGCCAACAAGACGGCGUACGACACUUCUGUCCAUACAAAGCUUGAUAAGGUGCCAUCUUAAUGCUCGAGUGAAAACUAUUAUUAUAGGAAAAUUCUACCAACGGUAAAUGUUCAUCCCAAUUACCUAGGAAUUCCAAGGUACAUGCUCUCAGCAUAUCUUCAAGUGUUUGUAUUGUUCUUUCACUCUGACCAUCAGUCUGCGGAUGGUAAGCUGUGCUUAAACAUAACUUGGUACCCAUUUCCUCUUGUAGACUUUUCCAAAACCUUGAGGUGAAACGGCUAUCACGAUCCGAUACAAUCGUUAACGGAACACCGUGAAGCCUCACAAUUUCCUUCACGUAAGAAUUCGCAAGCUUUUCCAUAGACCAUUUCUCCCUGGCCGCUAUGAAAUGCGCACUCUUAGUGAAUCGAUCAACGACCACCCAAAUCAUGUCGUGACCAUUCUUUGUUCUGGGCAGUUUAGUGACAAAAUCCAUAGCAAUGUCUUCCCACUUACCCAUAGGCACAGGCAAAGGUUCUAAACUCCCGUACGGUUUCUGAUGUUGUGUCUUGACUCUCGCACAAGUCACACACUCGGCCACAUACUUUGCAACAUCAAGCUUCAUCGUCGGCCACCAGUAGUAGGGUUUCAGGUCCCUAUACAUUUUAGUGCUACCCGGAUGAAUCGAGUACAUGGUCUUGUGAGCUUCUUCCAUCAGAAGAUCUCUAAUUCCUCCUGACUUAGGUACCCAAAUACGAUCUUGGAAUACCUUCAGUCCAUGACCGUUAGUACCAAACACCAACGUUUUACCCAAACGUUCCUCCUUUCGGUCAUUUUUCUCAGAAGCUUCCUCUUGAGCUUUCUUUAUACUUUCCACAAUGGUCGAGACAACUUCAAUUCUCAACGCUCUUGGCCUCUUCCUUUCAAGAUUGACCUUCCGACUGAGAGCAUCAGCAACAACAUUAGCUUUACCGGGGUGGUAAAGUAUCUCGCAGUCGUAGUCUUUAAGUAAUUCUAGCCAGCGUCGUUGCCUCAUAUUCAAUUCUUUCUGAUUAAAGAGGUAUUGGAGACUCUUAUGAUCAGUGAAAAGUUUGCACUUCGUGCCAUAGAGGUAAUGCCUCCAUAUUUUCAGAGCGAAAACUACCGCUGCCAACUCCAAAUCAUGAGUCGGGUAAUUCUUUUCAUGCUCUUUCAGCUGUCGAGACGCAUAUGCUAUCACCUUUUCUCUUUGGGUCAAAACACAACCCAAUCCAACACCAGACGCAUCGCUAUAAACAGCGAAGUCUUCAACUCCAUCGGGUAGAGAAAGUAUCGGUGCCUCGCAUAGCUUCUUCUUUAACUUCUCGAAUGCUUCUUUAUGCUUCUCACUCCAAGCAUAAGUAGCUCCUUUGUGGGUCAAAGCUGUUAAUGGAGUAGCAAUCGAAGAAAAGCCUUGGAUAAACCUUCGGUAAUAUCCGGCUAAUCCUAAAAAGCUUCGAAUCUCCGUGGGACUUUUCGGUUGUUCCCACUUCGUCACAGCUUCGAUCUUCGCUGGAUCAACCAUUAUCCCUUCUUGGUUGACCACGUGACCCAAGAAUUGGACUUCACGAAUCCAAAAAUCACAUUUGGAGAACUUCGCAUAAAGCUUCUCCUUCUUCAAAACUUCUAACACUUCUCGCAAGUGUCUGCCAUGCUCCUCCUGGCUUUUCGAGUAGAUCAGAAUGUCGUCUAUGAACACUAUCACGGAUUUAUCAAGGAAAGGAUUACAAACCCUAUUCAUCAAAUCCAUGAACGCUGCUGGAGCAUUGGUUAGUCCAAACGACAUAACCAAGAACUCGUAGUGUCCAUAUCUAGUUCUGAAUGCAGUCUUCUCGAUAUCUUGCUCUCUUACUUUCAGCUGAUGAUAUCCUGACCUAAGAUCGAUCUUCGAGAAAUAGCUCGAACCUUGCAAUUGAUCAAACAGGUCAUCAAUCCUCGGCAACGGAUAUCUAUUCUUUAUUGUUGCCUUGUUCAGCUCUCUGUAAUCGAUGCACAUUCUCAUACUUCCAUCUUUCUUCUUUACAAAUAACACCGGAGCUCCCCAGGGCGAUGAACUAGGUCUAAUGAAACCUUUGUCCAAUAACUCCUGAAGUUGCAUCAUUAGCUCCUUCAUCUCCGUCGGUGCUAAUCGAUAAGGUGCUUUUGCUAUUGGCGUGGUUCCUGGUAACAAGUCUAUUCUGAACUCCACUUGUCUAUCAGGUGGUAAUCCAGGAAGAUCCUCGGGAAAUACUUCCGGAUAAUCACACACCACUGGAAUGCUCUGCAUCACCUUCUUUUCUUUCUUAGCAUCAAUCACGAAUGCUAAAUAUGAUGUACAUCCCUUGGUCAAACACUUUCUGGCUUUCAUUAGAGAAAUGAUUCCAGAAUUCACUCUGCGUUUGUCCCCAUACACCAUAAACGAAUCUUUUCCAGGCGGGUUUACUUUAACUAUCUUCUUCUUGCACAAAAUUUCGGCAUCAUUGGCGCUAAGCCAAUCCAUUCCCAAGACGAUGUCGAAACCAUUUAGUUCGAUAGGCAAUAAUUCCUCGAGAAACUUAUUCCCAUUAAGGUCGAUCAAGACGUUUUUCAUACGAUGGCUAACAGGUACAAACUUGCCACUAGCUACUUCGACUAAUAAAGCAUUAUUUAGUCUAUCAACAGGCAAAGCUAGCUUUCUACCAAACUCAUGCGAAAUAAAGGAGUAGUUGGCUCCAGAAUCAAACAAUAUAUGAGCAGGUAAUUCGUUUACGAGAAAGGUACCUGAAGCGACAUCAGCUUCAUCUUUCGCAGCCUCAAGUGUCAUCUGGAAGGCUCUCGCCUUCGGCUUUGGUGGAAUGUUGGGCCUAGCUGCCUCCUUCUUCUUCGGACAGUCUUUCAAAAUAUGCCCCUCUUCAUUACAACCAAAACACAUCCUUUUGUUGUUCGGACAUUCAUUGGCAAAAUGUCCAACCUUUCCACACUUGUAGCAGGUCACAUCCUCGCUACAUUUCCCAAAGUGCUUUUUCUUACACUUAUCACACCACUUUGCUUCGCCUCCUUUUCCUCCAAACUUUUUCGAAUCAGAUUUCGAAAAUUUGCUCUUCUUACUGGAACCAGAUGUUCCUUCAAACUUCCUUUUCUCACCAACCUCAACCUUGACGGUGGUUCUCCCCUUGAUCAUGUUCUCCACAGACUUGGCAGCCCAGAUAGCUGCCUCUAGAGUAAGUGCCUGACGUACUGGCACCUCGUACUCCCAUGGAAGUCCCUUUGCAUACCGGUCCACCUUCGUCAGCUCGUUGGGAACGAUACGCAAGGCAAACUCCAUCUUAUCGGUGAAGUUAUUGGUGUACUCAUCCACUGACAUGCUACCCUUUGUCAAUGUCAAAAACUUAUUCUCCAACUCCAACAGAUUUAGAGCCGAGCAGAAAUUGCGCUUGAACUGCACCAAGAACUUUGCCCAUGACAAUUUCAGUGGCUCAUUAGGGCUCAAAGUCUUCCCUAGAGUGUUCCACCAACGAACGGCUCCACCUCGGAAUUGACGCACGGCAUAGAUAGUUUGCAACUUACCUCUGCAGCCACACGUCAUGAAGGCUAGCUCCAUUUCGGAGAUCCAAUCCAUAACCCCAAUCGGAUCCUCCUUUCCAUUGAAGGUCGAUGGUUUGCAAGUCAAAAAGUCCUUGUACUUGCAUCCCAUUCCAUCAUUCCUUCCAUCAUGGUUAUCUUGCCUAACUAUUGGUGGGUUGGCUGGACCAACAGACCCACUGAAGUUUCCACCUUCCGAGUGCCCUUCAUUCAGUUCAGGCUCUUCCACACGAAUCGACAAUUCUUCACGAUUCUGUUGAAGUAACCCUCUAGUUUCAUCCAUCUGAUGAUCCAACAUCAUCUGAAUCAUCAAUUGCACACUAGCCAUGGUUAUUGGCUCAGGCGUUGCUGCUACGACAGGUAUUGGCUCAAUCACUGGUGGUUGAUUCCUGUUUUCGUCAGCAUUUCCAACUCCACUUCUUGUUCUCACCAUUUUGAUCUACACACCGAAUAAGGUGAAAUUAGAUCCUCAAUCAUGAUAGAUAUUCAAAUCAUCCUUAUCACUCCGAAACGUUUACAUGCUAGUUCUAAUAUCGUAGACGUACGCUUAGAAUCCUACACACAUAAGGUUUCUAGAUCCGGUCGGCAACAGACCAUAGAUCCGAACAAAUAAUAUCAUAUAUGGCAACAUAUAACAUUUAGCACAUAAAGCAUUUUAGGCAACUUUCCUAAAAUAAACUAGUGCUCGUGUCUAAAUCACAACAGACACACAUCUCAAAACUUCACUUAGCAUUCUAAGUUUAAGUCUAGAAAUCCUACAAAUUCCUAGUUCGCUUAAACUAAUGCUCUGAUACCAACUGUGACAUCCCCAAAAUCUCGGCCAGAAAAGACCGAUUUUCAUUUAUGCUUUUAAAUAUUUUCAGAGUAAAUCCUUUUGAUUUGAAAGAGUUGCGGAAUUUGUUCCCAAAAACAAAACAUGAUAAAACAUUGUUUACCGAAGCAUUUCAUAAAAGAAAUGUAUUUUCAUUAUAAUCAAAACUCGGGGUGUCAUGUUCCGAUACAGACCAAUAAGCAUAAACGAAUACAUUACAAGUCAUAUAACAAAUAUAAACAUAUGCAGACUUGUAAACAAAACAACUUGAUGGUUCAUCCAUCUCAUGCCCUUCCGCCACUACCUGUAAUACAAUUUAAAACUGAGUGGGUCAGGCUUGGGAGCCUGGUGAGCAUAUAGGGUUUUCAACCCACAAUAAAUAUCAUAUUUAAUUUUCACCAACCAACAAUAACCCAAUUACCCAUUCCCGUUAUUCUCACUUUAAUGUCCCUAAAACAACUAACAUAAGGGACCUAGUCUAAGAAUAUUUCAUCGGGGCGACAACACAUGCUUCGGGGGUACCUCAGCAAUAUAAGUCAAAUAAGGCAACCAUGAGGGGGAUGGAGUACAGCGAAUGAACACCCAAGUUCAUUAACACCUACAGGUGGCGAACCUGCUAAUGUUUCCACAAGACUGUCUAGAAUAGCCAGUGGUCGUCAUCUAAACUCCGCUAGAUGACUCAAUCAAACAACAACGAGGCCUCUCAUCUGUUUAUUACACACCAACUGUCUACCCAUGUUCUACCCAACAUAUUAGUAGAUAAAAAUAUACAUUUGUAUACAUAGUUUAAAGAAAACCUGUAUAGCAUGCUUUAAUCAACACAUAUAUCACAUAACAGAUGAGGCACACACACACAUAACACAUAUCUCAUAAAGAAAUAAGCAGAUCUAUAAGAUAGAAGAGAGUGAAUACUCAUUCACACAUAACACAACCAAAUAUAUACACAUAGCACGUAUUUUUAUAUAAAAUACUUCGUAUUAUUGUAUUAGAAGAAAUAACUACACACUCACUUGAUCAGAAGACGAUCCGACAGCACUACGGCUUAUAGAAGUAGUAAUCCACAGCAGAUCUGGAAGAUCUCCUCGAAAAUCGAACUUCUCGCGGGCAGAGCUUCGACUCGGAAACCGCACUUCUCGGGAUCUUCGGGAUCUCGGGACUUGCCUCGGGGCUAGAGUAUGAUACCGGGACUUCGGGAUAGCUUCGGGGGUUUUUGCGCAGAGCUUCGACACGAAAAUGAGAGGAAAUUGGCAAAAGAACCCGGAACCCUCGCAUCCUAUUUAUAGGAGGCUGGAAGCCUCAAUUACGCGGGGCGUACAGCAGUACGCGGCGCGUACUGCUCCAAGUUCGUAAGCGCAUGCGUCAUCCGAAGCCACUUGCUGCGAUGUCGACACCUUCGGAGUACGCGGGGCGUACUCGAGUACGCGGCGCGUACCUCGGAUCAGAUCAAUGACUCGCUUCGGAUAAUGCUUCCGAUUUUUGAUUUAAAUUUAAAUACAAAAUGAUUAAUAAACUUCAGAAAUUCAUAACUUCUUCAUAAGAACAUCGUUUUCGACGAUCUUUAUAUCCACGGAAAGGUGAGACCAUGCUCUACAACUUUCGUUUAGACUCCGUUGGCUAAUUUUGAAUUUAUUUUUUAUUAAUUAUUAUUAAUAGGCCGGGACAGUAACUUUCGUUAUAAAUUCAUAACUUCUUCGUUUGACGUCCGUUCUCGCCUAACUUUUUAUCGCUUCGAUACCAACAAUGAGAUCUUCGAUUCUCAUUUAGAUUGCUUCGGCUAAAAACCCCUCGAUCUCAAAUCGAGUAAAACAGGCUGCAUACUGCUAAGCCGAAACUUCGAUAAAUCAUAACUUCCUCAUACGAAGUCAGAUUUGGGUGUUCUUUAUAUAUUCGGAAACCUUGUUUCAACUACUACAACAUAAAUCAAAGUUAUUAAGUUUAUUUUAUACUUAAAUUUUGACGCUUAUUUUUAUUCUUAAUUAAUCAAACCACAUAAUUAAGCAAUUAAGCACAAAACACAUAAUAC
rnacentral:lncRNA from 1 species